rnacentral:rRNA from 1 species
AUUGAACGCUGGCGGCAGGCCUAACACAUGCAAGUCGAGCGGAUGAAGGGAGCUUGCUCCUGGAUUCAGCGGCGGACGGGUGAGUAAUGCCUAGGAAUCUGCCUGGUAGUGGGGGAUAACGUCCGGAAACGGGCGCUAAUACCGCAUACGUCCUGAGGGAGAAAGUGGGGGAUCUUCGGACCUCACGCUAUCAGAUGAGCCUAGGUCGGAUUAGCUAGUUGGUGGAGUAAAGGCCUACCAAGGCGACGAUCCGUAACUGGUCUGAGAGGAUGAUCAGUCACACUGGAACUGAGACACGGUCCAGACUCCUACGGGAGGCAGCAGUGGGGAAUAUUGGACAAUGGGCGAAAGCCUGAUCCAGCCAUGCCGCGUGUGUGAAGAAGGUCUUCGGAUUGUAAAGCACUUUAAGUUGGGAGGAAGGGCAGUAAGUUAAUACCUUGCUGUUUUGACGUUUCCAACAGAAUAAGCACCGGCUAACUUCGUG